rnacentral:ncRNA from 4 species
UACGUAGGUGGCAAGCGUUGUCCGGAUUUAUUGGGCGUAAAGCGAGUGCAGGCGGUUCAAUAAGUCUGAUGUGAAAGCCUUCGGCUCAACCGGAGAAUUGCAUCAGAAACUGUUGAACUUGAGUGCAGAAGAGGAGAGUGGAACUCCAUGUGUAGCGGUGGAAUGCGUAGAUAUAUGGAAGAACACCAGUGGCGAAGGCGGCUCUCUGGUCUGCAACUGACGCUGAGGCUCGAAAGCAUGGGUAGCGAACAGG